AGUGCCGCAGAGUUUGUAGUGU
rnacentral:miRNA from 1 species